CCUACGGGAGGCAGCAGUGGGGAAUUUUGCGCAAUGGGCGAAAGCCUGACGCAGCAACGCCGCGUGCGGGAUGAAGGCCUUCGGGUUGUAAACCGCUUUCAGCAGGGACGAAAUUGACGGUACCUGCAGAAGAAGCCCCGGCUAAAUACGUGCCAGCAGCCGCGGUAAUACGUAUGGGGCAAGCGUUAUCCGGAUUCAUUGGGCGUAAAGAGCGCGUAGGCGGUUUGUUAAGCGAGAUGUGAAAACAGGGGGCUCAACCCGGCUGCCUGCAUCUCGAACUGGCAGACUUGAGUCUGGUAGAGGAAAGUGGAAUUCCUAGUGUAGCGGUGAAAUGCGCAGAUAUUAGGAGGAACACCAGUGGCGAAGGCGGCUUUCUGGGCCACGACUGACGCUGAGGCGCGAAAGCUAGGGGAGCAAACAAGAUUAGAUACCCUGGUAGUCCUAGCAGUAAACGAUGGGCACUAGGUGUGGGGGGUUACGAUCACUACCUCCGUCGCGCAGCUACGACAUAGU
rnacentral:rRNA from 1 species